rnacentral:rRNA from 1 species
UUGAACGCUGGCGGCAGGCCUAACACCUGCAAGUCGAACGGUAACAGGAAACAGCUUGCUGUUUCGCUGACGAGUGGCGGACGGGUGAGUAAUGUCUGGGAAACUGCCUGAUGGAGGGGGAUAACUACUGGAAACGGUAGCUAAUACCGCAUAACGUCGCAAGACCAAAGAGGGGGACCUUCGGGCCUCUUGCCAUCGGAUGUGCCCAGAUGGGAUUAGCUAGUAGGUGGGGUAACGGCUCACCUAGGCGACGAUCCCUAGCUGGUCUGAGAGGAUGACCAGCCACACUGGAACUGAGACACGGUCCAGACUCCUACGGGAGGCAGCAGUGGGGAAUAUUGCACAAUGGGCGCAAGCCUGAUGCGGCCAUGCCGCGUGUAUGAAGAAGGCCUUCGGGUUGUAAAGUACUUUCAGCGGGGAGGAAGGGAGUAAAGUUAAUACCUUUGCUCAUUGACGUUACCCGCAGAAGAAGCACCGGCUAACUCCGUG